rnacentral:rRNA from 1 species
AGCGAACGCUGGCGGCAGGCCUAAUACAUGCAAGUCGAACGGUCUCUUCGGAGGCAGUGGCGGACGGGUGAGUAACGCGUGGGAAUAUGCCCUUUGGUACGGAACAACUGAGGGAAACUUCAGCUAAUACCGUAUGUGCCCUUCGGGGGAAAGAUUUAUCGCCAUUGGAGUAGCCCGCGUUGGAUUAGGUAGUUGGUGGGGUAAAGGCCUACCAAGCCUACGAUCCAUAGCUGGUCUGAGAGGAUGAUCAGCCACACUGGGACUGAGACACGGCCCAGACUCCUACGGGAGGCAGCAGUAGGGAAUCUUGCGCAAUGGGCGAAAAGCCUGACGCAGCCAUGCCGCGUGAAAUGAUGAAGGUCUUAGGAUUGUAAAAAUUCUUUCACCGGGGGAAGAUAAUGACGGUACCCGGAGAAGAAGCCCCGGCUAACUUCGUGCCAGCAGCCGCGGUAAU